AGUAGGUUUGAUCCUGGCUCAGAACGAACGCUGGCGGCAUGCCUAACACAUGCAAGUCGAACGAAGCCUUCGGGCUUAGUGGCGCACGGGUGCGUAACGCGUGGGAAUCUGCCCUUGGGUUCGGAAUAACAGUUAGAAAUGACUGCUAAUACCGAAUGAUGUCUUCGGACCAAAGAUUUAUCGCCCAAGGAUGAGCCCGCGUCGGAUUAGCUAGUUGGUGAGGUAAAGGCUCACCAAGGCGACGAUCCGUAGCUGGUCUGAGAGGAUGAUCAGCCACACUGGGACUGAGACACGGCCCAGACUCCUACGGGAGGCAGCAGUGGGGAAUAUUGGACAAUGGGCGAAAGCCUGAUCCAGCAAUGCCGCGUGAGUGAUGAAGGCCUUAGGGUUGUAAAGCUCUUUUACCCGGGAUGAUAAUGACAGUACCGGGAGAAUAAGCCCCGGCUAACUCCGUG
rnacentral:rRNA from 1 species